rnacentral:rRNA from 1 species
UACGUAGGGUGCGAGCGUUGUCCGGAAUUAUUGGGCGUAAAGAGCUCGUAGGCGGUGUGUCGCGUCGGCCGUGAAAACCUGGGGCUUAACUCUGGGCGUGCGGUCGAUACGGGGCAUCACUGGAGUUCGGCAGGGGAGACUGGAAUUCCUGGUGUAGCGGUGAAAUGCGCAGAUAUCAGGAGGAACACCGAUGGCGAAGGCAGGUCUCUGGGC